GAACAAACCCUAAACAACACAAAUCAAUCAAAUUGAAAGGGGAUUUGAGGGCUAAAUGAAUGCAUGAACCAAGAAUGUUGAUCCCUUAAGUGUUUCUAACAUCAAAUACCAUAACGUACAAAAAGGAUUGUGAAAGUAAUGUUUAUGAAAGCUAAAGUAUGAAGUUAUGACAUAUUGGCACGAAGAAAGAAGAAGGCGCAAGUCACUCGAAAUCACAAGCAUCUCAAGAUCGCGGUAAAUCCCAUGCUUGAUUGCGGCGCGCUCGGACCGAACACACACAGUGUCGACUUUUAUGCGCUUCCGGUUCAAGUUACUUAUUUUUGAAUGGGUCAAAAUAUCAUUUUUGUGUAGUAAAUGUUAAACUAGUAACUAGGAUGAUUGUAGUAGUUUGAAUUUUAAACUUUAUUUUGAAAAGUUGGAUUUAAUGUUUUGG
rnacentral:lncRNA from 1 species